rnacentral:tRNA from 2 species
GCCGCCGUGGCUCAGCUGGCAGAGCGGGUGACUUGUAAUCACCAGGUCGCGGGUUCGAACCCCGCCGGCGGCU